UACGUAGGGGGCUAGCGUUAUCCGGAAUUACUGGGCGUAAAGGGUGCGUAGGUGGUUUCUUAAGUCAGAGGUGAAAGGCUACGGCUCAACCGUAGUAAGCCUUUGAAACUGGGGAACUUGAGUGCAGGAGAGGAGAGUGGAAUUCCUAGUGUAGCGGUGAAAUGCGUAGAUAUUAGGAGGAACACCAGUUGCGAAGGCGGCUCUCUGGACUGUAACUGACACUGAGGCACGAAAGUGCGGGGAGCAAACAGG
rnacentral:rRNA from 1 species